UACGUAGGGUGCGAGCGUUGUCCGGAAUUAUUGGGCGUAAAGAGCUCGUAGGCGGUUUGUCACGUCUGCUGUGAAAUCCCGAGGCUCAACCUCGGGCCUGCAGUGGGUACGGGCAGACUGGAGUGCGGUAGGGGAGAAUGGAGUUCCUGGUGUAGCGGUGGAAUGCGCAGAUAUCAGGAGGAACACCGAUGGCGAAGGCAGUUCUCUGGGCCGUAACUGACGCUGAGGAGCGAAAGCGUGGGGAGCGAACAGG
rnacentral:rRNA from 1 species